rnacentral:rRNA from 1 species
UACGAAGGGGGCUAGCGUUGUUCGGAUUCAUUGGGCGUAAAGGGUGCGUAGGCGGCGCGGUAAGUCGGAUGUGAAAUCUCGGGGCUUAACUCCGAAACUGCAUUCGAUACUGCCGUGCUUGAGGACUGGAGAGGAGACUGGAAUUUACGGUGUAGCGGUGAAAUGCGUAGAUAUCGUGAGGAAGACCAGUGGCGAAGGCGAAUCUCUGGACAGUUCCUGACGCUCAUGCACGAAGGCCAGGGGAGCAAACGGG